rnacentral:rRNA from 1 species
AGCGAACGCUGGCGGCAGGCCUAACACAUGCAAGUCGAACGAACCUUUCGGGGUUAGUGGCGGACGGGUGAGUAACACGUGGGAACGUGCCUUUAGGUGCGGAAUAACUCAGGGAAACUUGUGCUAAUACCGAAUGUGCCCUUCGGGGGAAAGAUUAAUCGCCUUUAGAGCGGCCCGCGUCUGAUUAGCCAGUUGGUUGAGGUAAUGGCUCACCAAGGCGACGAUCAGUAGCUGGUCUGAGAGGAUGAUCAGCCACAUUGGGACUGAGACACGGCCCAAACUCCUACGGGAGGCAGCAGUGGGUAAUCUUGCGCAAUGGGCGAAGGCCUGACGCUGCCAUGCCGCGUGAAUGAUGAAGGUCUUAAGAUUGUAAAAUUCUUUCAACGGGGACGAUAAUGACGGUACCCGGAGAAGAAGCCCCGGCUAACUUCGUG